rnacentral:rRNA from 1 species
GACGAACGCUGGCGGCGUGCUUAACACAUGCAAGUCGAACGGAAAGGCCCUGCUUGCAGGGUACUCGAGUGGCGAACGGGUGAGUAACACGUGGGUGAUCUGCCCUGCACUUCGGGAUAAGCUUGGGAAACUGGGUCUAAUACCGGAUAGGAGCCAUCUUUAGUGUGGUGGUUGGAAAGUUUUUUCGGUGUAGGAUGAGCUCGCGGCCUAUCAGCUUGUUGGUGGGGUAAUGGCCUACCAAGGCGGCGACGGGUAGCCGGCCUGAGAGGGUGUACGGCCACAUUGGGACUGAGAUACGGCCCAGACUCCUACGGGAGGCAGCAGUGGGGAAUAUUGCACAAUGGGCGCAAGCCUGAUGCAGCGACGCCGCGUGGGGGAUGAAGGCCUUCGGGUUGUAAACGCCUUUCGCUAGGGACGAAGCUUUUUGUGACGGUACCUAGAUAAGAAGCACCGGCUAACUACGUG